AGUGAACGCUGGCGGUAGGCCUAACACAUGCAAGUCGAACGGCAGCACAGUAAGAGCUUGCUCUUGCGGGUGGCGAGUGGCGGACGGGUGAGGAAUACAUCGGAAUCUACUUUUUCGUGGGGGAUAACGUAGGGAAACUUACGCUAAUACCGCAUACGACCUACGGGUGAAAGCAGGGGAUCUUCGGACCUUGCGCGAUUGAAUGAGCCGAUGUCGGAUUAGCUAGUUGGCGGGGUAAAGGCCCACCAAGGCGACGAUCCGUAGCUGGUCUGAGAGGAUGGUCAGCCACACUGGAACUGAGACACGGUCAAGACGCCUAAGGGAGGCAGCAGUGGGGAAUAUUGGACAAUGGGCGCAAGCCUGAUCCAGCCAGACCGCGUGGGUGAAGAAGGCCUUCGGGUUGUAAAGCCCUUUUGUUGGGAAAGAAAAGCAGCAGGUUAAUACCCCGCUGUUCUGACGGUACCCAAAGAAUAAGCACCGGCUAACUUCGUG
rnacentral:rRNA from 1 species